UACGUAGGGUGCGAGCGUUAAUCGGAAUUACUGGGCGUAAAGCGUGCGCAGGCGGUUCGUUGUGUCGGCGGUGAAAGCCCCGGGCUUAACCCUGGGAAUGGCCGUCGAAACUGGCGAACUGGAGUGUGGCAGAGGGGGGGUGGAAUUCCGCGUGUAGCAGUGAAAUGCGUAGAGAUGCGGAGGAACACCGAUGGCGAAGGCAGCCCCCUGGGCUGACACUGACGCUCAGGCACGAAAGCGUGGGGAGCAAACAGG
rnacentral:rRNA from 1 species